AUGGCAGGACCUCCUAUCCUACAAACUGCCCAGAUUCUAAAUACUCCUGAUGUGCACGCUGACCAUCUUUAUUUCCACCAUCCUGGUGGAAACCACCCUUCAGGACUCAGCUCAUACGUGAUGAGACAUCUCCCUGCUCUGGACUCAGCUGCCUGGUCUGUUUCUACCAUUGACCCAUCACACCAUAUGGCAUAUAAGAAAAUUGAGGCUCCAGACAGUUCAGUGACUGGUCUGAGGUCACACAACGAACAGGAUUCCAACAAGCGCCACCUGGGAAGCCCCAGAACACAGCAUAGCCAUCACUGAAGCCUGGAAAUGAAACUUCAUGAAGAACAACGGCAGUGAUGUCAAGGCUUAGAGAAUUUUAAUGGAAUAUAGAGUGAUUAACAGGAUGCUCAGAACUCAUCGCCUUUAAGGAGUUCCCUAUGGAAUACGAGUUCUGCUAGUUUCUACCUCCCUCCCACUUCAAAGAAUACAUCCUCUGAGUUAAAUGGCGUCUGCUCUACUGGCAGUUCCUAAACGACUUGGUGUCCACUUCUUGGCUCCCAACUCUGGCUCAUGGCAUUUCCCCUCCCUCAGAUAUUCUUCUGAUUGUUUUCACCUGGAUCAGUCCCCCUGGCUUCAAGACACAGUUUGGACACAUCCUCCCUUGGAAGCUGAGCAAAGUGUGUGCCCCAGAGUGGACCUCCUAUGACACUGUAAACUUACUUUAAUCAACAGACCUAGGGCACAGGAUUUGCAAUGCGUCUUAAGCUCCUCAAGGGCCCAGACUGGGACUUAUCCAUCCUGGGCUCCUCUGCACCUAGCGGAGUGCUUGGCACUCUUGAGAUGCUCAAUAAAUGUCUACUGAAUGAAUGACUAUAUUUGGAAAGAACCCGGUAACCAGUGCUUCCCAAACUUUGAUGUGUAUAUUUAUUAUUUAGGGAUAUUUUAACACCAUAUUUUGACUUAAUAGGGUUGGGUUAGUGCCUGAGAUUGUACAUUUCCAAUGAGCUCUUAGGUGAUGCUACCUGGGAGGUGUGGGUCCAUAGACACACUUGCAUUGGAAACUCACACAAGCCUGUAGGGAUGCUGAGGGCACCCAACCAUAUCCUCUCAUCUCAUUGUUUCCAUAGACGCUUAACUGGGCAGAAUGCAGCUGCCAGCACCUGCAACUUUUUGCUUGAGGUCUUUCUCUGGCUGUUGGACCCCACUCAGCCACAUAGGGGACAGACUGGAAGUGGCUUAGAAUGAAUACCUCCAGGAGAAGCCAUCAAUUGGUGACUGAUGGGUAUUGGUGAAUACCCCAGCUCUCUCAUCCUUGGUUGGAGGAGCCCUGAUAUGUCCUCCAUGGUGUCUCCCAGAGUUGCCCUGUGGAACUAUGCUUGUGUUGCCCACACUGGUCACCUGCCUGAUCAUGGAUUAGCUAUUUGCUUUCUUUGCUUCUGUCCUACGCCACUCCUAGUGUUUCCUAGAAUAACUGCUCAAAUGAACCACCUGUGGGUCUCAAAUGAACCCUCAUGGUCUCAGGAGUGCUUUCAGAGCAAACCAGCUUAACUCAAAUCUCUAAGACUCUAGCUAUCAGCUCUGUCUGGCCUUGGGCUUCUGUUAGGUACUCAUUCAUUCGUUUAUUCCACAAGUAGGCGGUAGUGAAAGAUCAAUCAGUAGUUGGGGAGAGGGAAUAAUUUUGGUUUUUUUCCUCAUGUUCCCAAUUCCUAGCAGAAAACCAGACAAAAACAUGUUUCCAGAAAAUGUUGGUUGGUGAGGGAAGGACAAAAAGGAGGAAAGAGCUGCUUUGCCCAGACUUCUUGGCCAUGGUGGAUGGUGCUCUCCAAGUAUGAGGAGUGAGGCUGUCAAGCAGAUACGUUCAAUUUUCUCUUCUGCCAGUUUCUCAAAAGGAACUUGAAUUCUCUGCUCUUUGGUAUCCUCAUCUUUAAAGGNNNNNNNNNNNNNNNNNNNNNNNNNNNNNNNNNNNNNNNNNNNNNNNNNNNNNNNNNNNNNNNNNNNNNNNNNNNNNNNNNNNNNNNNNNNNNNNNNNNAAAACCAUCUACUUCUGCUUUAUUGACUACACUAAAGCCUUUGACUGUGUUGAUCACAACAAACUGCGGAAAAUUCUUAAGAAGUUGAGAAUACCAGACCACUUUUGGCUCCUGAGAAAUCUGUAUGCAGGUGAAGAAGCAGCAGUUAGAACUGGACAUGGAACAACAGAUUGGUUGCAACCUGGGAAAAUGAGUAUGUCAAAGCUGUAUAAUUUC
rnacentral:lncRNA from 1 species